rnacentral:rRNA from 1 species
UGCAAGUUCGAAGCGGCAGCACGGGGGCAAUCCUGGUGGCGAGUGGCGAACGGGUGAGUAAUACAUCGGAACGUGUCCUGUAGUGGGGGAUAGCCCGGCGAAAGCCGGAUUAAUACCGCAUACGAUCUGUGGAUGAAAGCGGGGGAUCUUCGGACCUCGCGCUACAGGGGCGGCCGAUGGCAGAUUAGCUAGUUGGUGGGGUAAAGGCCUACCAAGGCGACGAUCUGUAGCUGGUCUGAGAGGACGACCAGCCACACUGGGACUGAGACACGGCCCAGACUCCUACGGGAGGCAGCAGUGGGGAAUUUUGGACAAUGGGCGAAAGCCUGAUCCAGCAAUGCCGCGUGUGUGAAGAAGGCCUUCGGGUUGUAAAGCACUUUUGUCCGGAAAGAAAACCUCGUGGUUAAUACCCGUGGGGGAUGACGGUACCGGAAGAAUAAGCACCGGCUAACUACGUGCCAGCAGCCGCGGUAAUACGUAGGGUGCAAGCGUUAAUCGGAAUUACUGGGCGUAAAGCGUGCGCAGGCGGUUCGCUAAGACAGAUGUGAAAUCCCCGGGCUUAACCUGGGAACUGCAUUUGUGACUGGCGGGCUAGAGUAUGGCAGAGGGGGGUAGAAUUCCACGUGUAGCAGUGAAAUGCGUAGAGAUGUGGAGGAAUACCGAUGGCGAAGGCAGCCCCCUGGGCCAAUACUGACGCUCAUGCACGAAAGCGUGGGGAGCAAACAGGAUUAGAUACCCUGGUAGUCCACGCCCUAAACGAUGUCAACUAGUUGUUGGGGAUUCAUUUCCUUAGUAACGUAGCUAACGCGUGAAGUUGACCGCCUGGGGAGUACGGUCGCAAGAUUAAAACUCAAAGGAAUUGACGGGGACCCGCACAAGCGGUGGAUGAUGUGGAUUAAUUCGAUGCAACGCGAAAAACCUUACCUACCCUUGACAUGUAUGGAACCUGGCUGAAAAGCUGGGGGUGCCCGAAAGGGAGCCAUAACACAGGUGCUGCAUGGCUGUCGUCAGCUCGUGUCCUGAGAUGUUGGGGUUAAGUCCCGCACCGAGCGCAACCCUUGUCCCUAGUUGCUACGCAAGAGCACUCU